AUUGAACGCUGGCGGCAGGCUUAACACAUGCAAGUCGAACGAGUGGCGGACGGGUGAGUCAUGCUUGGGAAUCUAGCUUAUGGAGGGGGAUAACUACGGGAAACGGUAGCUAAUACCCCUGACCAUAGGAUGAGCCCAAGUGGGCUUGGGUAGUUGGUGAGGUAAAGGCUCACCAAGCCGACGAUCUCUCGCUGGUCUGAGAGGAUGACCAGCAACACUGGGACUGAGACACGGCCCAGAAUCCUACGGAAGGGAGCAGUGGGGAAUAGUGCGCAAUGGGGGCAACCUGACGCAGCAAUGGCGCGUGAAUGAAGAGGGCCUUCGGGUUGUAAAGUUCUUUCGGUAGCGAGGCGUUAACUACAGAAGAAGCACCGGCUAACUCCGUGCCAGCAGCCGCGGUAAUAC
rnacentral:rRNA from 1 species